rnacentral:rRNA from 1 species
UAAUGUAUGGGGAUCUGCCCGAUAGAGGGGGAUAACUACUGGAAACGGUGGCUAAUACCGCAUAAUGUCUACGGACCAAAGCAGGGGCUCUCCGGACCUUGCACUAUCGGAUGAACCCAUAUGGGAUUAGCUAGUAGGUGGGGUAAAGGCUCACCUAGGCGACGAUCUCUAGCUGGUCUGAGAGGAUGAUCAGCCACACUGGGACUGAGACACGGCCCAG